UCGAGCGGACAGAUGGGAGCUUGCUCCCUGAUGUUAGCGGCGGACGGGUGAGUAACACGUGGGUAACCUGCCUGUAAGACUGGGAUAACUCCGGGAAACCGGGGCUAAUACCGGAUGCUUGUUUGAACCGCAUGGUUCAAACAUAAAAGGUGGCUUCGGCUACCACUUACAGAUGGACCCGCGGCGCAUUAGCUAGUUGGUGAGGUAAUGGCUCACCAAGGCAACGAUGCGUAGCCGACCUGAGAGGGUGAUCGGCCACACUGGGACUGAGACACGGCCCAGACUCCUACGGGAGGCAGCAGUAGGGAAUCUUCCGCAAUGGACGAAAGUCUGACGGAGCAACGCCGCGUGAGUGAUGAAGGUUUUCGGAUCGUAAAGCUCUGUUGUUAGGGAAGAACAAGUACCGUUCGAAUAGGGCGGUACCUUGACGGUACCUAACCAGAAAGCCACGGCUAACUACGUGCCAGCAGCCGCGGUAAUACGUAGGUGGCAAGCGUUGUCCGGAAUUAUUGGGCGUAAAGGGCUCGCAGGCGGUUUCUUAAGUCUGAUGUGAAAGCCCCCGGCUCAACCGGGGAGGGUCAUUGGAAACUGGGGAACUUGAGUGCAGAAGAGGAGAGUGGAAUUCCACGUGUAGCGGUGAAAUGCGUAGAGAUGUGGAGGAACACCAGUGGCGAAGGCGACUCUCUGGUCUGUAACUGACGCUGAGGAGCGAAAGCGUGGGGAGCGAACAGGAUUAGAUACCCUGGUAGUCCACGCCGUAAACGAUGAGUGCUAAGUGUUAGGGGGUUUGCUGCCCCCUU
rnacentral:rRNA from 2 species